rnacentral:rRNA from 1 species
AUUCCUACGGGAGGCAGCAGUAGGGAAUAUUGGUAAUCUGGGAAACCGGGAACCAGCAACGCCGCGUGCGCGAUGAAGGCCUUCGGGUUGUAAAGCGCUUUUUAAAGGGAUGAGGAAGGACAGUACCUUUAGAAUAAGCCUCGGCUAACUACGUGCCAGCAGCCGCGGUAAAACGUAGGAGGCGAGCGUUAUCCGGAUUUACUGGGCGUAAAGCGUGUGCAGGCGGUUUGAUAAGUUGGAUGUGAAAGCUCCUGGCUUAACCGGGAGAGGUCGUUCAAAACUAUCAGACUAGAGAGUGGUAGAGGGAGAUGGAAUUCCGCGUGUAGUGGUGAAAUGCGUAGAUAUGCGGAGGAACACCAGUGGCGAAAGCGGUCUCCUGGCCCAUUUCUGACGCUCAGACACGAAAGCUAAGGUAGCAAACGGGAUUAGAGACCCCGGUAGUCUUAGCUGUAAACGAUGUGAACUUAGUGUCGGUGGGGUUAAAUCCAUCGGUACUGAAGCUAACGCGAUAAGUUCACCGCCUGGGGACUACGGCCGCAAGGUUAAAACUCAAAGGAAUUGACGGAU